rnacentral:rRNA from 1 species
CCUACGGGGGGCAGCAGUGGGGAAUAUUGCGCAAUGGGCGAAAGCCUGACGCAGCGACGCCGCGUGAGGGAUGAAGGUCUUCGGAUCGUAAACCUCUGUCAGCAGGGAAGAACGGUCACUGUGCUAAUCAGCAGUGAAUUGACGGUACCUGCAAAGGAAGCACCGGCUAACUCCGUGCCAGCAGCCGCGGUAAUACGGAGGGUGCGAGCGUUAAUCGGAAUUACUGGGCGGAAAGGGUGCGUAGGCGGAAUGUCAAGUCAAGGGUGAAAUCCCCGGGCCAAACGAGGGAACUUCGUUUGAAACUGGCAAACUGGAGUGUGUGAGAGGAAAGUGGAAUUCCAGGGGUAGGGGUGA